rnacentral:rRNA from 1 species
UACGUAGGGUGCAAGCGUUGUCCGGAAUCAUUGGGCGUAAAGAGCGUGUAGGCGGCCCGAUAAGUCCGCUGUGAAAGUCCAAGGGCUCAACCCUGGAAUGCCGGUGGAUACUGUCGGGCUAGAGUCCGGAAGGGGCGAGUGGAAUCUGGUGUAGCGGUGAAAUGCGCAGAUAUCAGGAGGAACACCAAUGGCGAAGGCAGCUCGCUGGGACGGUACUGACGCUGAGACGCGAAGCGUGGGGAGCAAACAGG